UACAGAGGGUGCGAGCGUUAAUCGGAAUUACUGGGCGUAAAGCGUGCGUAGACGGUUAUUUAAGUCGGAUGUGAAAGCCCCGGGCUCAACCUGGGAAUUGCAUUCGAGACUGAAUAGCUAGGGUGCGGUAGAGGGAAGCGGAAUUUCCGGUGUAGCGGUGAAAUGCGUAGAUAUCGGAAGGAACAUCAGUGGCGAAAGCGGCCUCCUGGACCAGCACCGACGUUCAGGCACGAAAGCGUGGGGAGCAAACAGG
rnacentral:rRNA from 1 species